UAGGGAAUCUUCCACAAUGGACGCAAGUCUGAUGGAGCAACGCCGCGUGAGUGAAGAAGGUUUUCGGAUCGUAAAGCUCUGUUGUUGGUGAAGAAGGAUAGAGGCAGUAACUGGUCUUUAUUUGACGGUAAUCAACCAGAAAGUCACGGCUAACUACGUGCCAGCAGCCGCGGUAAUACGUAGGUGGCAAGCGUUUUCCGGAUUUAUUGGGCGUAAAGCGAGCGCAGGCGGAAUGAUAAGUCUGAUGUGAAAGCCCACGGCUCAACCGUGGAACUGCAUCGGAAACUGUCAUUCUUGAGUGCAGAAGAGGAGAGUGGAAUUCCAUGUGUAGCGGUGGAAUGCGUAGAUAUAUGGAAGAACACCAGUGGCGAAGGCGGCUCUCUGGUCUGCAACUGACGCUGAGGCUCGAAAGCAUGGGUAGCGAACAGG
rnacentral:rRNA from 1 species